CCUACGGGAAGCAGCAGUGGGGAAUAUUGGACAAUGGGCGAAAGCCUGAUCCAGCCAUGCCGCGUGUGUGAAGAAGGCCUUCGGGUUGUAAAGCACUUUCAGUGGGGAAGAAAGCCUUGGGGCUAAUACCCUCGAGGAAGGACAUCACCCACAGAAGAAGCACCGGCUAACUCCGUGCCAGCAGCCGCGGUAAUACGGAGGGUGCGAGCGUUAAUCGGAAUUACUGGGCGUAAAGCGCGCGUAGGCGGUCUGAUAAGCCGGUUGUGAAAGCCCCGGGCUCAACCUGGGAACGGCAUCCGGAACUGUCAGGCUAGAGUGCAGGAGAGGAAGGUAGAAUUCCCGGUGUAGCGGUGAAAUGCGUAGAGAUCGGGAGGAAUACCAGUGGCGAAGGCGGCCUUCUGGACUGACACUGACGCUGAGGUGCGAAAGCGUGGGUAGCAAACAGGAUUAGAUACCCUGGUAGUC
rnacentral:rRNA from 1 species